UGGCUCAACUGGGAGAGGCCGUCUAAACUACAGAACUAGAGGAUGGUAGAGGGAGGUGGAAUUCCAGGUGUAGCGGUGGAAUGCGCAGGUAUCUGGAGGAACACCGGUGGCGAAGGCGGCCUCCUGGACCAUUCCUGACACUCAGACGCGAAAGCUAGGGUAGCAAACGGGAUUAGAGACCCCGGUAGUCCUAGCCCUAAACGAUGUAGACUAGGCGUCGGAAGCUUAAUCGCUUUCGGUGUCCAAGCUAACGCGAUAAGUCUACCGCCUGGGGACUACGGCCGCAAGGUUAAAACUCAAAGGAAUUGACGGGUCCCCGCACAAGCAGCGGAGCGUGUGGUUUAAUUCGUUGCUACACGAAGAACCUUACCUGGGUUUGACAUAGCAGUGGUAGGGAAGCGAAAGCGGACCGACCCUUCGGGGAGCUGUUACAGGUGUUGCAUGGCUGUCGUCAGCUCGUGUCGUGAGAUGUUCGGUUAAGUCCGCUAACGAGCGCAACCCGCGUUGUGUGUUACAAGUGUCACACAAUACCGCCGGUAUUAAGUCGGAGGAAGGUGCGGAUGACGUCAAGUCAGCAUGACCUUUAUAUCCAGGGCUACACACACGCUACAAUGGUCAGCACAAUAGGUUGCCAAGUCGUGAGACGGAGCCAAUCCUCCAAAGCUGGCCUCAGUUCAGAUUGCAGGCUGCAACUCGCCUGCAUGAAGUUGGAGUUGCUAGUAACCGCAGGUCAGCUAUACUGCGGUGAAUACGUUCCCGGGGAUUGCACACACCGCCCGUAAGGGC
rnacentral:rRNA from 1 species